AUGCCUUUGCAGUAUCCUCUUCUCUUCCCCUAUGCAGAACGUGGGUUUCAGCUCAGGCUUAAAUAUAUUGGUUCAGACCCUUUAGAUACUAGCAAAAGAACCAGGCUCACUAUGCAGGACUAUUAUUCGUAUUGUCUCCACUAUAGACCAGAGCAGCAUAAUCCAUACCUUUGUUGUGGUUUGCUUUCCUCACAGGCCAUUGUAGAUGCACGCACUUGCAUAGACGAGUGGAGGCUGCAUUUCGUCAUGAAGGCUAAUAAUGAUCUUAGAGCAGAGAACUUGCAAGGAGUCACCGAUGCUGUUGGAAAAGGGCAGACAGAUGCAAGUUUUGUUGGCAAAAAAAACAUACUUCCAUCCUCUUUUACCGGUGCCCGGCGUUAUAUGAUUGAGAACUUCCAGGACGUAGUAGCUAUUUCAUGUGUCUUUGGCCCACCAGACCUUUUCACCACCUUUACCUAUAAUCCCAAGUGGCCUGAGGUAACAGAAGCCCUAUGUUCUGAGCCUGGCCCGAUGUGUUCAGCCAGGGUGGUUCUUCCGGUCAGGGUUUAUCACAUGAAGCUCAAUGUCUAUAUUCAUGAUAUUAAGAGUGGGGAGGCCUUUGGUCCUGUCGUACACAUACUGCACACUGUGGAGUUCCAGAAAAGAGGGUUUCCUCAUGCCCAUAUCCUGAUCUGGCUUGAUAGGAAAAAACGGGAGCAAACCUGA
rnacentral:rRNA from 1 species